CCUACGGGUGGCAGCAGUGAGGAAUAUUGGUCAAUGGGCGCGAGCCUGAACCAGCCAAGUAGCGUGAAGGAUGACUGCCCUACGGGUUGUAAACUUCUUUUAUAAAGGAAUAAAGUGAGGCACGUGGGCCUUUUUGAAUGUACUUUAUGAAUAAGGAUCGGCUAACUCCGUGCCAGCAGCCGCGGUAAGACGGAGGCGCCGAGCGUUAUCCGGAUUUAUUGGGUUUAAAGGGAGCGUAGAUGGGUUGUUAAGUCAGUUGUGAAAGUUUGCGGCUCAACCGUAAAAUUGCAAUGGAUACUGGCAGACUUGAGUGCAGUUGAGGUAGGCGGAAUUCGUGGUGAAGCGGUGAAAUGCUUAGAUAUCACGAAGAAGUCCGAUUGCGAAGGCAGCUUACUAAAAUGCCACUGACAUUGAUGCUCGAAAGUGUGGGUAUCAAACAGGAUUAGAUACCCCGGUAGUC
rnacentral:rRNA from 1 species